AGGCAGCAGUGGGGAAUUUUGGACAAUGGGGGCAACCCUGAUCCAGCCAUGCCGCGUGAGUGAAGAAGGCCUUCGGGUUGUAAAGCUCUUUCGGCCGGGAAGAAAUCGCAUCUCCUAAUACGGGGUGUGGAUGACGGUACUGGAAGAAGAAGCACCGGCUAACUACGUGCCAGCAGCCGCGGUAAUAAUC
rnacentral:rRNA from 1 species